rnacentral:lncRNA from 1 species
UGAGCUGGACGGGAAAGUGCGAAUCGUACGGACUGUAAAAAAGGUGCUCACCGUGGGACACGCUUCACAAGGACAAUCAUUGGAGUAGCUGUGCUGCCCGGAAUGCGCAGGUGCACCGUGCACCUGCAUUUUGUAAAUGGGACCGUCACAUCACUGGAUACACUUCUAUCAAACUUGGAAUUUUGUUAUUGGAUUGACCAUGCCAGCUGGUCUACACUAACCCCCAUUCACUCCCUAUGCCAAAACAUCUUUAAAAGCCUGACUACUUCUGGUGUUUUCCUCAUGUAUGGACAGUGGCUUUCCUUCAUAUAGACCAGCUUUUUCUACUUUCCUCUUUCAACUGUCUCGAUAUUUUGUUGAAGCGAGCAAAGAGAGUAUUUAUUACUUUUUUUUAAAAAAAUGUAUUUUUAUUUUAAAAUAUAUUAAAAUAAUUUUUUGUUUGUAAUAUUAACAUGUUAAAAUCAUUUAAAAACACUAAAAAAAUUAAGUUGAUAUUUCUUUCAAGAAAAAUAUAUUUUAAAAAACACCCAAAAAAUUAAAGUUACACCACUCUCAACCAUAAUGUUUUUCAUAACUAAAAUUGAAUACAACUCAAAAAAUUAAAAUUAAAUUAAAAGUGAUUAUCUAAAUAAAAAAUAUAAAUUUUGGAUGAAAGUCGAUUAUAAUGAAUCUAGAAUUAAAGAUGUAAGUAAUAAUUGAUAAGUUCUAAAUGUAUCAUAAAAACAAAAAUAAAAACAAACUUUCACAUAAAAAUUUUAUUUAUAAAUAAUCAAUUUAUUCUCAAAUACAAGUUAAAUAACUCCAUUAGUACAAAACAUUCUAAAUAAAAUUGAAAAAUAACAUAAUAUUUCUAAAUAAAAUAAAAAAAUUUAUAAAUCAACUAAAAAAUAUUACAAAUCUGUAACUUUUGAAUUUUAUCACAAAUAUUUUUCAAGUUCUUAUUGUUACUAGAUUUUUUUAUUAUUAUUAACGUAAGUGUCCGGGUCAACUUAUGUGCACCUCGACUAAUCUCAUGGGCCUUGAAGUUAACGACCAUGUAAGCCUCUAGUGGCCCUAAAGUUUGUGAGACUCGAACUAGUGACCUCUAGGAAGCAAACUUAGGACCUGACCAGUUAAGCUAUACCCCUCAGGGUUAAUAAUUUUUUUUAUUAACGUAGGUGUUCUGGCCAGCUUGCAUGCACUUCGACUAAUCCCACGGGCCCUGAAGUUAACGGCAGACGCAACACGCAUGGACCUGACACACUGCUAGGCCAAAGUCAUGGUUAGGCCUAGCUAGCGCCAGACCCAACAAGGUGCUAGACUCUUGGGUCUGGCCAGUGCCAAACUCAAUGCGCCUAGGCCUAGCGCACUACUAGGCCCAGUCAUGGGUGGAUCCGGCUAGCGACAGACCCAACACGCAUGGGCCUGACACACUGCUAGGCCAAAGUCGUGGUUAGGCCUAGCUAGCGCUAGACCUAACAAGGUGCCAGACUCACCCAUCUCUUGGGUCUAGCCAGCGUCAGAUCUAAUAUACUUGGGCCUGACGCAUUGCCAGACUCAAUUUUGAAUAGGUCUGGCUAGCGUUAGAACCAAUGCGUCUCAAUUUGAGCGUGUUUUAUGCUAGUGCAUGCUAGUCCUACACACUUAAAAAAUUAGAAAAUUUAUAUCCAUAUGUUUUUCUUGAUCCAAAUUUUUUAUAUAUAAAGAUAUACUAAUAAAAUAUUGUUUCAUCAUAUACAUAUUCAUGUCCAAUAUUGUGCAUUUCAUAUUCUAAGCAUAUGUUAAAAAAAAGAAUUAAUUGCAUUUACGAUGAACUUAAAAUUCAUAAUAUAUACAUUGAAAGAAUAAAUCGAAUAUCAACAUUAUAUUUAAUUAAAAAGCUAGUGGACAUAACUCGCACUUGAGAUUGGGGUUGAAUGAUUAUUCUUCAUCUACUUAAAUCAAUUAAUCGUUGGCACAAAUACUAGCAUUAUCAAGAAACUUGGUGAAGAAACCUUCUAGGUGGUGGCCCAGUGGUAAGAGCUUGGGACCAAGAGGUUUACUCCCUCUGUGGUCUCAGGUUCAAGCCCUGUGGUUACUCAUAUGAUGGCCACUGAAGGCUUACAUGGUCGUUAACUUCAGGACCCGCGGGAUUAGUCGAGGUGCGCGCAAGCUGGCCUGGACACCCACGUUAAACUAAAAAAAAAAAAAAACUUGGUGAAGGACCUAAUUAGGUAGAAUACUCUCUGAUGCAUAGUAAGAUGUCAAAUACCAUCUAAAUACAAAGUAACUGAGAAAUCUCUUUAUUUCAAUUCGUGUGAUCUAAUCAUAGGUUAGGUAUGAACCAUCACGUUAACUUGUAUGAAAACUUCGUGUGAUCUAAUCUAUUUUAAAUAGUAAAAUUAUAACAUUUUUUCUUAAAUGUACCAAAUGUGAAUAUCUUAUUCACGUUAAAAUUAUAACAUUUUAUUACCUUUAGAUUUAAUUUCAAGAUAGAAUUCAAUUUUAAUGAAUAAAAAAAUUGAAAAAUUGAAAAAAAUAAUAAUUAAACACUAUAAAAAUUAUAUCAUAUUUAAGUUAAGUAUUUUAUGAGUACGAAAUUGUUUAAUAUUUUUGUUCAAACAAUUAUAACAACUUGAUAACACAAAUAAAAUUAUGAUAAUAUAGUCAAAUCAUUAAUUAUGUAUAAAUAAUUAAAUAAGUAAAAAAAUAUAGAUUUAUACAAUUAUUCAGUCACUUGCACACAUAGUAAAUUAACUAGAUUAUUGGUUUGUGCAACAUUACAUGUCAGAUAAUUUUUUUAAUAUAAAAAAAAAUCCAAGCAUAGCUAAUAUUUUUCUAGUAGAAAAAAAUAAUUGUGAAGAAGUUGACUCGAUAUAACUCGAUCGACUUGACUAGUCCAAAAACAAUCUGGAUAACUGACAAAAAUAUAAUUUGACCUAAAACAUUUCAAGAUGACAUCAUUUUUUUAAAUAUUGAGAUGACAACAUAUUAGAUCGAUUUGACUCAAUUUAAGUUAACUUUUCAAAUCCGUAACCUGGGUCAUGAGACCAUGAUAACCCUGUAUAAAGCAAAUCAAAACAAAUUAUAAAACUCAAUUUCCAAUCAAUCCAAUGAUGAAAUUAAAAAAAAAAAACUCAAGUCAACUUGAGUAAACCUGUCAAAUCCACGACUCAGGUCAUGAGACCAGGAUAACUUCAUAGAAAGUAAAUUAAAAGAAAAAGCUUAAUUCCCAAUCAACUUAAUAUUGAAAGAAUAAAUUGAAAAAAAGUCAAUAAAAAAUAACACAAAAAAUAACCACAAUCAACUUGAGUUAUGAGACCAUGAUAAUUUUAUAGAAAAUAAAUCAAAAUAAAUUAUAAAAUUUAAUUCUCAAUCAACCUAAUAUUGAAAGAAUAAAUUGAAAAAAAGUCAAUAAAAAAUAACACAGAAAACAACCACAAUAAACUUGAGUCAUGAGACCAGAAUAACCUCAAAAAAAAUAGACAAAAAAAAUAACAUGAGCCAGCCCGGGUUAAUCUACUAAGUCCAUGAUCUAGAUAAUGAGACUAUGAUAAUCUCAUAAAAAGCAAAUUAAAUAAAUUAUAAAACUCAAUUCCUGAUAAACUCAUUGUUAAAUAAUAAAAUUUAAAUUUUUUUUUUUAGAAAGACAAUAAAUGACCUGACUGCUUAGGUUAAUUAGCUGAUAAAACUCGUGAGACUAAGAUAACCUUGUAAAAAAUAAACAAUAACAAAUGAUAAAGUUUAAUUAUUUAUCAAUUCAAUGUAAAAGUUAUUGAAAUUUUUUUAAAAAGUAUUAAUUAAAAAAAAAAUCUUUUAGUAUUUGAACAUCCAUGUCCACACUCUGCUUUCUUCCGGUGCCCGAAUAAACAUAAUUAUUUGGAUUGAUUAUUUGGUUCUAAUGUUGAUGUCAAUCUUGACUUGAUAAAAACUCUUCUCAUACCUGUCUCUCCUAGUUCAUUUUCAUGGCUGUAUCUUUUGGUUUUUUAACUAGGAGUCCCACUCAAGGUUAGGUGAACUAGUGGCUUCAAAACUCAAAGCAACCUGCAAGAGAUUAACAAGGGAAAACAAAUCAGUAUCUCCAAGCAAGAAGCAUAUGAACAAUCAAAAUCAAAUAGGAAAGGUGCCUGCCUCCUCCAUGGGCAUUUUUUGUCGAUCGUCCAUCAAUUCCAAUCUCGCAAAUGGUUCGCGAUGCAUGAGCAAAAACAUGACAGUCGUCUUCCAUGUAAAAAUGCAAACAGUAAGAACUUUCUAAAUC